ACUCUUGAGAGAAGUGGCAAUCUCUGCCAACUUUGAGGGCUCAGAGGGGUCUUGGGAACCAAAGUCAUCAGGGGCAUCCACCACUUGGGUCUUCCCACCAUCAGAGCAAUUUCCCAAGUCAACAUCACUGAAAUUAUAGCAAUUGGGUUGCUGUGUCAUCCUAGGCACCCUCUGUGCCUCCCAGACCCCCUGGGAUGGGGCCCUCACGCUAGCUGAUCAAGGUGCCACGCCCUCUCUUAUUGCCUGCUUUCUUAGGCCACUUCCAGCAUCAAUGGUGUCAGGUCAGGUCCUCUGGGUAGAAGAAAUGGAGUCAGGAGUGCUGGAGACUGAGUAAGAGAUGGUGGCUGAGGCUUACUACCCCAGGGAAGGGAUGCCACUAGAGAAGGCAGGCAACCAAGAUGGCAACUCUCAAUUUUUGAGCUCCUAAUUUUCCGAUGGCAGACACAAGAAAAAAAAAAUUUUUAAGAAAAAGCAUUAGGUUGCAAAAAUCUAGGCCUUUGAACUUUAAAGUCCCAUCCUUGAAAGCCUUGGAGAAUAAAGCUUAUGCAUAAACAGUAGAUUUGGAAACAGAAA